GCCUGGGUGGCUCAGUCAGUUGAGCAUCUGACUUCAGCUCAGGUCAUUGUCUCAUAGUUCAUGGGUUCAAGGUCUGUAUCAGGCU
rnacentral:tRNA from 1 species